ensembl:lncRNA
CUGAAAGACCCGGCAGCGGGCAUCCUCCUCAGGCUGGAUGAACGGAUGUUGCAUCCGCCACUGCAGAGGGUGAGCAAGGAGCUUGAGCCAGCUUCAGCUGUUACCGUAAGUCUCAGAGGAGCGGCGCAUAGUGAAAAGGUUGGCUAAGAACCCGAAGGCCCGGAGGGCGCCGCGACGUGGAGCUCCUGAACUGCUGUCUUGGUGCGCCCCCCACUGCCGACCGCCAGAGGAGGAAGUCGCGACUCGUUUCAGCAUCUCCGCUGGCUCCGAUCCCGGGACUCUGCGGGGGGCGGCAGCCCAAAUCCCAUCCCUGAAGCCCACCUUCGCUCGUCUUAUCUUCUAGGGACCGGUUAUUACCUGUGAGAGGCUGGAAAAAGCAAACAGCUCUGAGAUGCUACCCUCCCCACUCCUUUGAGAGCCAGCAGAGAACAUUUCCUCUCAACCGGUCGAAGCUUACCUAAAGGAGGGUCACGCAGCUUGUCUACCGAGAUCCCAGACCUACGCAUGGCAGAGCAACGAGGUGGAAGAAGCCUGGAUCUCUGACAUCAUGGAGCACCACACCAGGAGAAUGGGAAAUGAAGGAAUUCUGUUUUCCAAAUUAAAAAGAGAGAUGAUAACUAAGUGAGAUAUUAUAGAGGAAUUGUGAAGAUGGCAAAUGAGAAGUUUCUCUGGAGACAGAAUGAAAAUGAACAAGCCAUUCUCAGGAGACCAACUGAGAAAAACAGCCAAUCCUUCUAUUUCUAUUUCUG